UAGAGAAGAAACUAAAACUCAAAAGGAUUAAGUGAUUUGUUCACACAAGGACAACUUGAAGUUUCCCUGAAUUGUUCUUGCCUCAUUGAGUGAGAAGAUGAGACCAAAAGGGAGAACCUAGGUGUACUGAACAUUUUUUUAAAAAUCCCAGAAGGUAAGUAGGUAGACUUUGUUUGCAUGGGCUGUGAUUUGUAGGAGGGUUUCAUUUUCUAGAGC
rnacentral:lncRNA from 1 species